rnacentral:rRNA from 1 species
GACGAACGCUGGCGGCGUGCUUAACACAUGCAAGUCGAACGGAAAGGCCCUGCUUUUGUGGGGUGCUCGAGUGGCGAACGGGUGAGUAACACGUGAGUAACCUGCUCUUGACUUUGGGAUAACUUCAGGAAACUGGGGCUAAUACCGGAUAGGAGCUCCUGCUGCAUGGUGGGGGUUGGAAAGUCUCGGCGGUUGGGGAUGGACUCGCGGCUUAUCAGCUUGCUGGUGGGGUAGUGGCUUACCAAGGCUUUGACGGGUAGCCGGCCUGAGAGGGUGACCGGCCACAUUGCGCCUGAGGUACGGACCAGACUCCUACGGGAGGCAGCAGUGGGGAGUCUUGCACAGUGAGCGGAAGCCUGAUGCAGCAGCGCCGCGUGCGGGAUGACGGCCUUCGGGUUGUAAACCGCUUUCGCCUGUGACGAAGCGUGAGUGACGGUAAUGGGUAAAGAAGCACCGGCUAACUACGUG